GACGAACGCUGGCGGCGUGCCUAAUACAUGCAAGUAGAACGCAGUUGCGAACGGGUGAGUAAAGCGUAGGUAACUGCCUGGUAGAGGGGGAUAACUAUUGGAAACGAUAGCUAAAACCGCAUAAUAACAGAUGGACCUGCGUUGUAUUGACUAGAUGGUGGGGUAACGGCUAACCAAGGACACGAUCCAUAGCAGACAUGAGAGGGUGAUCGGCCACACUGGGACUGAGACACGGCCCAGACUCCUACGGGAGGCAGCAGUAGGGAAUCUUCGGCAAUGGACGGAAGUCUGAACGAGCAACGCCGCGUGAGUGAAGAAGGUUUUCGGAUCGUAAAGCUCUGUUGUAAGAGAAGCGGUAUCUUACCAGAAAGGGACGGCUAACUACGUGCCAGCAGCCGCGGUAAUAC
rnacentral:rRNA from 1 species